GGCUAAUAUGAGUUAGAUAUUGAAUUGACUAGGAUUGGGUAACCAAUAAAAUGCAAGAUUUCAUUUUACGAGACGAGGGACUAAAUUAUGAAUAUAUGAAAGUUUAGGGGAAAAACUAUAAUUUCACCUAAAUAUAGUUUUUGGAGUGAUUUGAAUAAUAUGAUGAUUAAAUAAGCUGAAUUUACUAUUAUAGAUCAAGAAAAACAGAGCUAAACCUAGACCGAGGAA
rnacentral:lncRNA from 1 species